rnacentral:sRNA from 1 species
CUGCGUGAGCUGCCGUUCCGGAUCCACCGUGCCUCUGCGGCCUGCGUGCCCCCAGUCCCCGCCUGUGUCGUCUCUGUCGCCGUCCCCGCCUCCUGCCAGGCGCGGAGCCCUGCGAGCCGCGGGUGGGCCCCAGGCGCGCAGACAUGGGCUGCUCCGCCAAAGCACGCUGGGCUGCCGGGGCGCUGGGCGUCGCGGGGCUACUGUGCGCGGUGCUGGGCGCUGUCAUGAUCGUGAUGGUGCCGUCGCUCAUCAGGCAGCAGGUCCUCAAGAACGUGCGCAUCGACCCCAGUAGCCUGUCCUUCAACAUGUGGAAGGAGAUCCCCAUCCCCUUUUAUCUCUCCGUCUACUUCUUUGACGUCAUAAACCCCAAUGAGAUCCUGAAGGGCGAGAAGCCGCAGGUGCGGGAGCGCGGGCCCUACGUGUACAGGGAGUUCAGGCACAAGACCAACAUCACCUUCAACAACAACGACACCGUGUCCUUCCUCGAGUACCGCACCUUCCAGUUCCAGCCCUCCAAGUCCCACGGCUCAGAGAGCGACUACAUCGUCAUGCCUAACAUCCUGGUCUUGGGUGCGGCGGUGAUGAUGGAGGAUAAGCCCAUGACCCUGAAGCUCAUCAUGACCUUGGCAUUCACCACCCUCGGGGAACGCGCCUUCAUGAACCGCACUGUGGGUGAGGUCAUGUGGGGCUACAAGGACCCCCUCGUGAACCUCAUCAACAAGUACUUUCCAGGCAUGUUCCCCUUUAAGGACAAGUUCGGAUUAUUUGCUGAGCUCAACAACUCUGACUCUGGGCUCUUCACGGUGUUCACGGGGGUCCAGAACAUCAGCAGGAUCCACCUCGUGGACAAGUGGAACGGGCUGAGCAAGGUUGACUUCUGGCAUUCCGAUCAGUGCAACAUGAUCAAUGGAACUUCUGGGCAAAUGUGGCCACCCUUCAUGACUCCUGAGUCCUCGCUGGAGUUCUACAGCCCUGAGGCCUGCCGAUCCAUGAAGCUAAUGUACAAGGAGUCAGGGGUGUUUGAAGGCAUCCCCACCUAUCGCUUCGUGGCUCCCAAAACCCUGUUUGCCAACGGGUCCAUCUACCCACCCAACGAAGGCUUCUGCCCGUGCCUGGAGUCUGGAAUUCAGAACGUCAGCACCUGCAGGUUCAGUGCCCCCUUGUUUCUCUCCCAUCCUCACUUCCUCAACGCCGACCCGGUUCUGGCAGAAGCGGUGACUGGCCUGCAUCCUAACCAGGAGGCACACUCCUUGUUCCUGGACAUCCACCCGGUCACGGGAAUCCCCAUGAACUGCUCUGUGAAACUGCAGCUGAGCCUCUACAUGAAAUCUGUCGCAGGCAUUGGACAAACUGGGAAGAUUGAGCCGGUGGUCCUGCCGCUGCUCUGGUUUGCAGAGAGUGGGGCCAUGGAGGGGGAGACUCUUCACACAUUCUACACCCAGCUGGUGUUGAUGCCCAACGUGAUGCACUAUGCCCAGUACGUCCUCCUGGCGCUGGGCUGCGUCCUGCUGCUGGUCCCUGUCAUCUGCCAAAUCCGGAGCCAAGUAGGUGCUGGCCAGAGGGUGGCCCGGGCUGACAGCCAUUCGCUUGCCUGCUGGGGGAAAGGGGCCUCAGAUCGGACCCUCUGGCCAACCGCAGCCUGGAGCCCACCUCCAGCAGCAGUCCUGCGUCUCUGCUGGAGUGGGAGCGGUCACUGCUGGGGGCUGCGCUGCACGCUUGCGUCUUUUGCAUGCCGCGUUGCCACUACUCUGCCUGUUCUGGAAGGCCUGGGACCCUCCCUUGGAGGGGGUGCAGGUGGGCUUUGAGUAAUGAGACCUGGUACUUGCAUCAUCCAUUCAUCAAGUCAGCAUCCGGGGAUGCCAGGUUCUGUUAGGGGCGAGGGGACGUGCAGCAGUGGAGGAGACAGCUGAGGUCCCUGCUCAGGGGGAUUGAGGGGGGCUGGCAUUCCAGCCGGGGAGACAGAUGAAAACCAAGUAAAUCAGCAGAAAAGAUAAUUUCACUCAUGAUAGGAGCUGUGGGGGGUUAGAGCCAAAUAGAAAUACAGCGUGAGCCACGUGUGAGGUUUUCAGUUUAAAUUUUCUAAUAGCCACUUAACAGUCAAAGGAAACAGGUGGAAUUAAUUUUAAUCUUAUUUAACCCAAAUAUAUGCAAAGUAUUAUCACUUCAACAUGUAAUCAGUAUAAACAGUGUCAAUAUUUUUGCAGUUUUUUUGCAUGAAGUCUUUGAAAUCCUGUGUGUACGAUACAUGUGCAGCAGGUCUCAUUUUGGACUGGCCCCGUUUCAAGGGCUCACCAGCUGAAUGCAGCUUCCAGACUGGACAGUGCGUGUCUGGGGCAAGUGGGGACAAGGACAGAAGGAGCUUCAGGAAGGCCUCUCUGAAGAGGUAGAUAGUGAGCUUUGACCUGGAGGCCACGGAGGCACUCAGCACACAGCCACAUGAGGAAUGCUGCCUGGAGCGGCCACUGCAAAGGCCCUGCGGCAGGCACGGGCAAGGUACAUUGGAGGGUCAGGCAGGGCCAGGGUGGCUGGAGGGGAGUGAGGGCAGGGACAGAGGUAGGAGGUGGUGUCUGAGAGUGGACAGGGCAGGCCACCCAGGGCCUCGUGGUGCAGAGUGAGCAGUUUGGAACUGAUUCUGGGAGUGACAGAGCCGUUGGAGGCUUUUAAAGAGGGGAAUCACUAGGUCAGCUGCUGGCUGGGGAAUGGGCCCUGGACUGGGAGGGGUGGAAGCCUGGGCCCAGCGGGGAGGCCCCAGUGGGUAAGGAAGUCGGAGACUCGAACAGGAUGGGGCAGCUGCUAUCAGGAGGGAACGGAAGUGGGGAAGAGCUCCAGCCCUGGGCUUCAGACCUCCAGAAGCAGCAGGAAGAGGGGUGAUAACAGUGCCCCUCCUUGCUUCGGGGUCAUUUAUUUAUUCAUUCAUGCAUUCACCUCAAGGCCCUUUGCACAGGUCAGGGGAUGCAGAAAUGACCAGAACAUGAGAUCUGCAGCAAAGAUGGGCAAGGCAGGCCUUUAGGCAAGUUACUACAGUCACACGAAGGAUAGGAGAGCUGUGAUCACAGAGCUCAAGGGGCAGUGGAGAUGGGCGAGUGGCUGCCAUGGCAGGGGAAGGGAUGCUGCCCACUGGCAGGGCAUCAGGAAAGGCUGUUUUUGGAUGCAUGGACCAGAAAGCCACUCUCUGAGGUGGCCCCCACCUGCAUCAUCCUAGGGCCACAGGCCGAGGCCUUCUGAGGGGCCUUGGGGCCGCCCCACUGCUCUGCUGGUCUUGGCUCCUCUGCAGCACCUGCUUCCUUUAGCACUGGUGAAUGAUUCUUCCUCUUCCCCUCUCUCACGGAAGGCUUGCCUGCUUCCAUGCUUGCAUGCUGGGUGAGAAUAAAGCAUUCUUGGUUCUUCACCUUGGCUUUCAGACCUGAAACCCGACUUCCUUUCAAAAUUUCUGUCCUCAGGGGGAAAAGGUUUCCACAAUGUGAGGUGGUAGCCUGGACACCAGCUGUCAUCAUGUUGCUGCUCUAGUGUUUGAGCUCCCGAUGAACAAUGACCAUUGGGUCCAACCAGCCCUUUUGGGAGCCCCCUUCUCUGUUACUGCCCUGGGGGGAGCCAGGACCCAGCAGGGCUGUGACUCCAGCGAGCAAAAGGGAACUCCCUCCAGUUUCUAGACUGAAUUAUGUAGGGAGGACAGAAGGAAUCAGAACCCACACUCCCAGACCAUGAAUACCUUACCGUGGCAGAGCAUCACCGUGGGUGUCCACAGGCGAGGACACACAGCCACAUGAGGGGGUCCCUGGGGACUGGCUGAGGGGCUGGGCUAGAGGAGGCCACGACGGCCUAAUCCCUCUGUCUCCUUCUGUCUCCAAAUUGUCCAUCAGAAUGGGGAUAGGGAAGGAGGGUCAGGAAGCACAGAAUGUCUAGGCUGUGGCUAGGGUCCCCUUCCCUGCUGCAGCCCCCAAAUCAGCAUCCCACCCUCAAAUCCAGUAAGAAUGCUAUGAUCGGCAGUGUGGAUCCCUCCCUGCAGAUUUCAUUGGAGGCCACAUAAGUGAAAUUUAUCCCAUUAUGUGUGUUUUGAUUUAGCAGGGCCUUGCCAGUUUUUUUGUUUUUGUUUUUGUUUUUUUGGUUUCUUUUUUGAGAUGGAGUCUUGCUGUGUUGCCCAGGCUGGAGUGCAGUGGCGCAAUCUUGGCUCACUGCAACCUCCGCCUCCCGGGUUCAAGCGGGAGCCUCAGCCUCAGCCUCCCGAGUAGCUGGGAUUACAGGCACCUGCCACCACGCCUGGCUAAUUUUUGUAUAUUUAGUAGAGGCGGGGUUUCACCAUGUUGGCCAGGCUGGUCUUGAACUCCUGACCUUGUGAUCUGCUGCCUUGGCCUCCCAAAGUUCUGGGAUUACAGGUGUGAGCCACUGCGCCUGGCCUGCCUUAUCAGUUUUUAUGUAAUUUGUCCUGAUUUAAAAAAAAUCACAUGCGGGUAAACUCAACAUAUUUUAAUUUCUCUUUAGAGAAAUUUUCUUCUUGAGCCAGGUUUGGUGGCUGUUGCCUGUAAUCUGAGCUACUUGGGAGGCUGAGGCGGGAGGAUCACUUGAGCCCAGGAGUUGGAGGCUGCAGUGAGCCAUGAUCGCACCAUUGCACUCCAGCCUGGACAACAGAGUGAGAUCCUGUCUCAAAAAUUUUAAAAAGCAAUAAUUUUUUCUUCUCAAGUCAUUCUUUUAAAAUAAAUCAAAAGUAUUUUAACAGAAGAAUCUGUUCCUCGUUGAUUUUAAACAGCCACCCAGCUAAGUCCACUGGUUAUCAGUCUCCAUGGCCCAUCUCCUCACCUUGCUUCCUUGCUGGCUUAGAUUUUCAAGUGGACGAGCCCUUUUCAGCUUGGCUUGUCCACCUCCCAGGUGUGUUUCCUGAAGAUGCUUGUACUUCUGUCUAAGAGCAGCAGCUCCCCACAUCUCAGCCACCUGCAAUUGUUGAGGGUUGUUGGACUCUAAACUUCUGUACCUUUCCUGUUUCCUCUUUGCCUUUUGCAAAUUGAAGAACCGUGUAAAACCAUUUUUAUGUGGCUUCAACGUCAACUAUAAAUUAGCUUGGUUAUCUUCUAGGAGAAAUGCUAUUUAUUUUGGAGUAGUAGUAAAAAGGGCUCAAAGGAUAAGGAGGCCAUUCAGGCCUAUUCUGAAUCCCUGAUGACAUCAGCUCCCAAGGGCUCUGUGCUGCAGGAAGCAAAACUGUAGGGUCUUGAGGACACCGUGAGCCAGCCAGGCCUGGCCGCUGGGCCCGACCGGCCCCCCAGCCCCUACACCCCGCUUCUCCCGGACUCUCCCAGCGGACAGCCCCCCAGCCCCACAGCCUGAGCCUCCCAGCUGCCAUGUGCCUGUUGCACACCUGCACACACGCCCUGGCACACAUACACACAUGCGUGCAGGCUUGUGCAGACACUCAGGGAUGGAGCUGCUGCUGAAGGGACUUGUAGGGAGAGGCUCGUCGACAAGCACUGUUCUGGAACCUUCUCUCCACAUGGCCCACAGGCCUGACCACAGGGG